AUGGCAGCCGACGGCAUGCACGUCAUGAUGUUCCCCUUCCUCGCCUUCGGCCACAUCAGCCCGUUCGUGCAGCUGGCGCGCAAGCUCGUCGCCGCCGGCGGGGUGCGGGUCACGCUUCUGUCGGCCGCGGCCAACGUGCCCCGUGUAGAGGCCAUGCUGGGGCCGGCGGCCGGCGCCGUGGCCGUGGCCCCGCUGCGCCUCCAGCGCGUGCCGGGGCUCCCCGAGGGCGCCGAGAGCACGGCCGAGGUCUCGGCGGACGGCGCCGAGCUGCUCAAGGUCGCCGUCGACGGCACCAGGCCGCAGGUGGCGAACCUGCUCGCGGAGCUCCGCCCUGACGCCCUGCUGUUCGACUUCGCCACCCCAUGGGUCACCGAGCUCGCGGCGCCGCUCGGCACCAAGGUGCUCCAGUUCUCGGUCUUCUCUGCCGUGUCCGGCGCCUACCUUAUGGUCCCCGCGCGCCGCGCCGGUGGCCAUGGGCCGACCGCGGAUGACCUCGCGUCGGCGCCCACGGGCUUCCCGCCAUCGUCUUCGCUCGCCACCGUGCCGGCCUACCAGGCUGCCAAUUUCACCUACGUGUUCACCAGCUUCCACGGCGAACCGUGCGUGUACGAUCGCGUCCUCGCCGGCCUCCAGUCCAGCGACGCCCUCGUGAUCAAGACGUGCCACGAAAUGGAAGGGCCCUACAUCAACUACCUCGCCGCCCAGCUCGGCAAACCGGUGCUCCUCACGGGCCCGGUCGUGCCGGAGCCGCCGCAGGGCGAGCUCGAGGAGCGAUGGGCCAAGUGGCUCUCCUCCUUCCCGGACAACGCCGUCGUGUUCGCCUCCUUCGGGAGCGAGACGUUCCUCCCGGCCGCCGCCGCGACGGAGCUCCUCCUGGGCCUGGAGUCCACCAACCGGCCGUUCUUCGUCGUGCUCAACUUCCCCAAGGGCACGGACACCGACGCGGAGCUGGCGAGGUGCACGCCGCCGGGGUUCGCCGGGAGGACCAAGGGCAGGGGCGUGGUGCACACGGGGUGGGUGCAGCAGCAGCACAUCCUGCGGCACCGCAGCGUGGGCUGCUUCGUGAACCACGCCGGGCUGAGCUCCGUGGUGGAGGGACUCGUCGCCGGCUGCCGGCUGGUGCUGCUGCCGAUGAAGGGCGAUCAGUACCUCAACGCGGCGCUGUUCGCGCGUGACCUUCGCGUCGGGGCGGAGGUGGCGCGGCGCGACGGCGACGGGUGGUUCGGGCGCGCGGACGUGAGCGACGCCGUGGACACGGCGAUGGCGGACGGGUGGGAGGGCCGAGGAAUUAAAUGGAGGGAGUUCUUGACGGACGACGCCGUGCAGAAGAGGUUGGCGGACGAUUUCGUCAGGGAUUUCAAGAACUUCGUGAGGGCCUGA
rnacentral:rRNA from 1 species